UGCGUAGGCGGAAUAAUAAGUCAGUGGUGAAAUCCUGUGGCUCAACCACAGAACUGCCAUUGAUACUGUUAUUCUUGAAUAUAGUUGAGGUAGGCGGAAUGUGUAAUGUAGCGGUGAAAUGCUUAGAUAUUACACAGAACACCGAUUGCGAAGGCAGCUUGCUAAACUAUGAUUGACGCUGAUGCACGAAAGCGUGGGGAGCGAACAGGAUUAGAUACCCUGGUAGUCC
rnacentral:rRNA from 1 species